rnacentral:rRNA from 1 species
CAGCAGCCGCGGUAAUACGGAGGAUGCGAGCGUUAUCCGGAUUUAUUGGGUUUAAAGGGUGCGUAGGCGGUCCGGAAAGUCAGCGGUAAAAGCCCGGGGCUCAACCCCGGCCUGCCGUUGAAACUGGCGGCCUCGAGUGGGCGAGAAGUAUGCGGAAUGCGUGGUGUAGCGGUGAAAUGCAUAGAUAUCACGCAGAACUCCGAUUGCGAAGGCAGCAUACCGGCGCCCUACUGACGCUGAGGCACGAAAGCGUGGGUAUCGAACAG